rnacentral:rRNA from 1 species
AGUGAACGCUGGCGGUAGGCCUAACACAUGCAAGUCGAACGGCAGCACAGUAAGAGCUUGCUCUUACGGGUGGCGAGUGGCGGACGGGUGAGGAAUACAUCGGAAUCUACUUUUUCGUGGGGGAUAACGUAGGGUAACUUACGCUAAUACCGCAUACGACCUACGGGUGAAAGCAGGGGAUCUUCGGACCUUGCGCGAUUGAAUGAGCCGAUGUCGGAUUAGCUAGUUGGCGGGGUAAAGGCCCACCAAGGCGACGAUCCGUAGCUGGUCUGAGAGGAUGAUCAGCCACACUGGAACUGAGACACGGUCCAGACUCCUACGGGAGGCAGCAGUGGGGAAUAUUGGACAAUGGGCGCAAGCCUGAUCCAGCCAUACCGCGUGGGUGAAGAAGGACUUCGGGUUGUAAAGCCCUUUUGUUGGGAAAGAAAAGCAGCAGGUUAAUACCCCGCUGUUCUGACGGUACCCAAAGAAUAAGCAGCGGCUAACUUCGUG